GACAGAGGCCACAAGCGUUAGGCGGAAUCACUGGGCUUAAAGCGCGUGUAGGCGGAUGCCUAAGUGCCUUGUGAAAUCCCACGGCUUAACCGUGGAACUGCUGGGCAUACUGGGUGUCUUGAGGUGUCUAGGGGUCGCUGGAACAAACGGUGGAGCGGUGAAAUGCGUAGAUAUCGGAAGGAACAUCAGUGGCGAAAGCGACUUCCUGGACCAGUACCGACGUUCAGGCACGAAAGCGUGGGGAGCAAACAGG
rnacentral:rRNA from 1 species